rnacentral:rRNA from 1 species
UACGUAGGGUGCAAGCGUUGUCCGGAAUUAUUGGGCGUAAAGAGCUCGUAGGCGGCUCAGUAAGUCGGGUGUGAAACCUCCAGGCUCAACCUGGAGACGCCACCUGAUACUGCUGUGGCUGGAGUCCGGUAGGGGAGCGUGGAAUUCCUGGUGUAGCGGUGAAAUGCGCAGAUAUCGGAAGGAACACCGGUGGCGAAAGCGGCGCGCUGGAUCUCUUCUGACGCUGAGGCGCGAAAGCCAGGGGAGCGAACGGG